CUGUAUUUUGCUACUAUCAUCUUUCCCUCAAGCCUGACCAGACUGGGAGGAGACAUUAUGUGGGUCACAAUGGACAGGACUUUACUCAAUACCUCUAUUCCUCAUGACAGACAGUAGAAUGUAUAUAUUUUUUUAAAUUCUUUUUCUUUGGAGAAUGGGAUUUCAUUUGGGUUCCAUUAGUGUAAUUAUGAAUUGUAGUGACUAUGCCCAUGGCUGGCGCGUCCAUAAGGCGGCACAAUUGGCUGCCAUAGAG